GACGAACGCUGGCGGCGUGCUUAACACAUGCAAGUCGAGCGGUAAGGCCCUUUCGGGGGUACGACGAGCGGCGAACGGGUGAGUAACACGUGGGUGACCUGCCCUCAGCUCUGGGAUAAGCCUGGGAAACCGGGUCUAAUACUGGAUAUGACUCCAUGACGCAUGUUGUGGGGUGGAAAGCCUUGUGCGGCUGAGGAUGGGCCCGCGGCCUAUCAGCUUGUUGGUGGGGUGANGGCCUACCAAGGCGACGACGGGUAGCCGGCCUGAGAGGGCGACCGGCCACACUGGGACUGAGACACGGCCCAGACUCCUACGGGAGGCAGCAGUGGGGAAUCUUGCGCAAUGGGCGAAAGCCUGACGCAGCGACGCCGCGUGAGGGAUGACGGCCUCGGUGUAACU
rnacentral:rRNA from 1 species